rnacentral:lncRNA from 1 species
CUUUGAGGACAGGUUUUAAUGCAUAUUCAUGUGCAGCAUUGUUUAGAAAUGUAAGUUUGUGAAGAACCUUUGGUUGGCAGUUAGUGCAUUAAAAGGCUGGGAGCCUCUGGCUGUACUUUGUCUCUCUGACUCAGUAACCUUCAGAGAAUUCAUGGAGAAGUCUGUAUUGGCAGGAAAGGGGUUAGCCUGGCUGAAACAUACCCACAGAACGCCCAGAAGUUUAGGAGAGCUUUUUAAUGCUUCAGAAGCAGGGGUAGAGGAGGUAAAGACCAGAGUCCCUAGCUGAAGGCAGGGCUCCAGUUCUAUGACUCACUGAUGACAUUUGACUUGGUGAAUAAAUGUAUAACUUCUUUGGCCGUGCCUAUGACAUAUGGAAGUUCCUGGGCCAGGGAUCAAACCCCUGCCACAGCAGUAACCCAAGCUGUGCAGUCACAAUGCCAGAUCUCACAAGGGAACACCAAGAAAUAUGUAACUUAAAAAAAAAUUGAGGAAGAACACUAAUAGGCUCACCCUAAUAAUUACAAUUAAGUGAGACUGUUACUUAAAUUGGUCAAAGCCUCAUAUGUCAAGGAACAAUCAUGCAUCCUUCUAGAUGGCCCAGGAAAGUCAGCCUGGCACUGUAAUAAAUGGACCACAAAUGACGUUGGAUGCCUUUUUUGUUUCAUUUUAAAACAUUGCUUUGAUCAUGUCAGCCUCCUUUCUGCUGGGAAAAAAAAAAUAAAGACAAGGUAAUAAUUGGUGUUUUCUGCUCUUUUUAUGUCUUAGGGAGGAGCUGAUACUCAGGUAUGGGUUUCCUUUGACUUCUUGUAUUUUUCCUUGUCUCCUACCCCAGAAAAAGUCUUCUUGUUGGAAUGUGGGGUGUGUAUGUGUGUGUGCGUGUGUGUUGGGGCGUGGGGUGCCUAUGAUGGGGGAUGGGAAGAGGGAUGGCCAUCCCUGGAAGAGUAAGGGAUUGCGCCUUGGUAACAGAACAUGCAGUGAUAAUGCUUGAUCGAUCCAAACCUGCAGCUCCUUUCUUGGCCCCAUUUCUGACGAGUUAAGAGGAUGAAACCAGGGAGUUGGCUGUGGGUAAGAAUUCCAAUUCCCCAUGAGCCCUAGAAUCUUUUCCAGCUUUCAUCUUUCCUUCAUUCACUCCUCGUCUCCCAAUUAUCUCUUCUCCCUUGACAUUUUAAUUGAAGUUUAUAUCUUAAAAUAUUUCCUGAGGACUUUGUGACACUGGCCUGAAGUCCAAGGGUGGCCUGGUCUACGUAAGUCUGGAUUGUGGGGAAGUUGGAAAACGUGUGCUUGGUACAGGCACCUCUCUCUGUUCAGAUGCCGUGGUGGGGAUGACCCAGAGGAAAUGAAACAUGCCAUCAACAGGAGCCUGCAGAGCUGAAAAGCAGUAGCCAACCAGGACAUCUGGGGGCUUUGUCCGCCUCUAGGAGCAUGAAAUCCAGACAGCUUUAAAUAAACACAAAAUAGUGGGAGGGUAACCCUUAAUGGAAGGAAGUCUUACAGCUCAUGAAUUGGAGUCCAUGGCUGACCUCCGAUUAAAUGCAUCAUCUCCGAAUUCAAAUGUUAACAUCCUCCCUUGCUUCUUUAUACACAUAAGCAUUCAGGUGAAGAUACUUGAUGAGGCACAUAGAGAAAAGACACCACCCUCAUGCUUUAGGCCCUAGGAUGAUGUUUGCUUAAGAAAAAAAAAAAUCACCACCACUAUCCAACCCUUCCUCCAACCUGGUCCACGUAGCUCUGUUCAUUUCUUAGCCCAGAGACCUAAGAAAGUCACAAAGUUGUACCUGCUAUUGGUUGCACUUAGGAAGGCAGACGUGAAGAAAGGAAAAUGAAAGACACACGUGAUGGGCUGGCUGGAGAUGAGAGCAUCUGUUUCCAGGGAGGACCUAGGCUGGACUCUGCUCCUGCCCUUGGUCAAGGGCGUCUCCAGUCACUGCAGCACCUGGAACCAAACUCUGCCUCUCAUCCUGGACCGCCUGGUAGCCCCUGUUCUUGUACUUCCGGGUGCCAUAGAUGGCCAGGGCGAUGACAGCUGCCAGGACGGUGGUGACCCCCAGUGUGACCCCAGCUGCUGCUCCUCCAGACAGGGCACUGCCAUCCCCAUGGAUGACCUUCAUGGCCCUGCGAAGCUCCAGCGGCUCUCCCAGCUUCCACCGGUGCGUCUGGGGAUCUUUAAUCCAGGAGCUGGCAGUCUCAGUAUUUGUCACCAUGACAGUGUUGGUGGCAGCCUGACUCAUGAGGGGUGGUCGGGUGUAAGGUGGAAGCCUGGCAGGAGGUAGAAACCCUCCUGUAAAAAGCCCAGACUUGACACAGUAAGAUACUUGGCACCCAUCACUGAUGAGGGCUAGGUGUUGGCUGAAACCCCCCGGACACUUUUUUAGAGAAGGCGCCCCUAAAUCUCCAGAUAUGGCAGGAUCCACCAGGGGGUUCCCGACCACACAGCUAAAGAACCCGCCAAAAGGGACUGAAAACUGGAAUCCCAACUCGUAGUCCUGCGAGGCACAUAUCUUGAGGUUCUCAAAAAGUCUCAAGGGAAAAUAGCCAGCUGGACACGACUGUGCGUUUGUCAAAGGGUUGAUGCUCUUACUGCUGAAGAGGCCCCCAAAAAGUAGCCCUGAGUUUUCUGACACUUGGCCACUGGCCACACACCAAAAAGCCCUAAACUCAGCCUUGGCCACCCGGAACACAUCUUCACACACCGUCUUGCAGAAAAUGAGGAGAGUGCACUUCUGUGAACACUCCAGGCGGUUGUAACCCUCCUCAUGGGUCUGGGUCAGCAGGCGGAUGGGGGAGUAGCCAGAAGGGCAGGAGAAAUCACCUGUGAGUGGAUUCUUCUGCUCCAAGUUUUGGCAGAGUUGGACAAACUCAUUCCCUGAGAGCUGGGUGCAUUGCUGAUAAACUCCACCAAAGGAGAAAUUGGUCAUUUUCCCCUCACAGGAGCCAUCAUCCACGUUGGCUUGGAAAUUGAAGUUAGGCGAGUUGAGAUCUGUGCAGCCAGGGUAGGUGUUGAAGGUGUAAUAGCGUCUCACAGCUGUCUCCACCGUCUUUGACAGCUUUUUCACCAAGGGCCCUGGCAAGUCAGGCAGCCUGUCGGGGUUGAUGAAGAAAUGCAGAGGCAGGCCAGCACGGUCCACGGCCACCAGGUGGUUGGUGAUGCCCUGCUGCCAGGCUUGGAGGGUGAUGCCUGGGUAAAAAGGGAGCCCUCCGAUGCUUUGCACCCUGGAGUUGGUUCGGUUGGAGAGGUAGUUCUUGGUGAAGUCAUUCUGGGAGAUGUAGCUCUCCUCAAGUUUGAAGUUCACGAUGUUUAGGAAGGUGAUUCCAGCAGAUGAAGUCACAGCACUGUGGCUGCUCUGGCUGUCCUGGAGGAAGGAGGAUCUGAUGUGGUCCUCCUGAAUGAGAGUAGCGCCCGCAUCCACACUGGUGAUGACAUGGGUACCAUAGUUGAGGACCAGGAGUUCCGCCAAGUAGGUGGCCAUCCGUGUCUGGUUGUUCUCCAGACGUUCAGAGAUGUCCAUGAGCUCCUUUUUAAACCCCCAGCUUAGUUCUGCAUCUGGGUUGAUUUUGACCGUGUAGACCAGGUUUCUUAGCUGAACCUGGGUAGUCACAGCUUGAUCCUUCACCUGGAGGCUCUUUAUCCUCUGGAACUCAGGUGAGAACUUGCCAUUGACUUUGGAAAAAAGAGAGAGCUCCAUGUUGAUGGAGUAAGAGGUGGUGCUCUGGUAAUUGACCCAGGACUCAAGGAUUUUUGAGUUCAUCUCCAGGUUGCUCUGUUUCUGGGGAAUGGUGAAGAUCUCGUCAGGGACAAUGUACUGUCCAUCCUCUGUGGUCUUGCAGUGGGUGUACGUCAGGUCCAUCACCCGUCCCAUGUCCACAUUCCGAAGAUUAUCCCAGCCACCUCCUGGUAGGACUUCCAGGACAGGUAGUUUUAAGGCAUUCUUGCAUUUUUGAAAUCCAGCCUCAGCUGCCUCUCCCAGAGAUGUGUCCGUUUUAGCCCACACUGCCACUGCCCAGAUAAGGAUGGCACCCCUGAAGCCGUUCAUGGCUCAGACAGCCCCAGCCUGUCACGUCAGCCCUCAGCAACAGCCAGCGAGCUCUGUGCAGACU